rnacentral:rRNA from 1 species
CGGGUAACCUACCCAUCAGAGGGGGAUAACACUUAGGAAACAGGUGCUAAUACCGCAUAACAGUUUAUGCCGCAUGGCAUAAGAGUGAAAGGCGCUUUCGGGUGUCGCUGAUGGAUGGACCCGCGGUGCAUUAGCUAGUUGGUGAGGUAACGGCUCACCAAGGCCACGAUGCAUAGCCGACCUGAGAGGGUGAUCGGCCACACUGGGACUGAGACACGGCCCAG